UCUAGGUUCAUCCCGCGUCGCCAGCCCAACACCACCCCGCGACGGCCAUCCCUCGGUUCAGCGCCACCCCGCGACGGCCAUUCUUCGUCUACCCAGUGCCGCCACUCCCCAAGAGCUCAUUGAACGGGGCAAACCAGGUUGCAUCCCUUGAAGACCCUCCUCCUCCCUCGUCCAGCAACCCGCAUCACCAUCCCUCUGCCCAGCACUGCCCCUCUCCACGACCUGAUUUAACGGACAGCGACGCAUUUCCGGUGGAGAUCUGUUUUGCCGCCACCCCUGCAUGUGCAAAUCGAGCGAAAAAUUUUUAAGAUCUAAAGUCGGAGAUUCUUAAAGGGAUCGCGGGUUUGUCUCAUUGUUGAGUCGGUCAGUUUCAAUUGUCAUCUUCAAGCAUUCAGAGUUCAAGUUUUCUGACCCCUUUGCUUUCUGGAAUGGUAGCUUCAAACCUAUGUGAAGGGAGCUCUAGUUCUUUUUUUUUUAUGAGUAAGGGAGCUCGAGUUCUUAAGCCAGUCUUUUGCUCUAGUGUUGCUUUGACUUGGAGAUCCUUCCAGUUAUCAGCCAUCUCGAGUGUAAGGCAGCAAUGUAGGAAUUGUAAUGUAAUUGUUAAGGCAACACUCCAAAAUGUGGUUGUGGAGUAGUUUGUAGAAAGUGUAAUUUGUAAUUUGAAGCUUGAAGAAUGUUGAAAUUUGUAGUUUUUAUCAAAUUGUGGUUGUAAAUU